CGGAGGAUCCAAGCGUUAUCCGGAUUUAUUGGGUUUAAAGGGUGCGUAGGCGGAUUAUUAAGUCAGUGGUGAAAGCCUGCAGCUUAACUGCAGAACUGCCAUUGAUACUGAUGAUCUUGAGUACAGUUGAGGUGGGCGGAAUGUGUCAUGUAGCGGUGAAAUGCUUAGAUAUGACACAGAACACCAAUUGCGAAGGCAGCUCGCUAAACUGUAACUGACGCUGAGGCACGAAAGCGUGGGGAUCAAACAGGAUUAGAUACCCUGGUAGUCCACGCCCUAAACGAUGAUAACUCGAUGUUAGCGAUAUACUGUUAGCGUCUAAGCGAAAGCAUUAAGUUAUCCACCUGGGGAGUACGGUCGCAAGAUUG
rnacentral:rRNA from 1 species